rnacentral:rRNA from 1 species
UACAGAGGUGGCAAGCGUUGUUCGGAAUUACUGGGCGUAAAGGGCGCGUAGGUGGCCUUCUUAGUCAGACGUGAAAUCCCCAGGCUUAACCUGGGAACUGCGUCUGAUACUGGACGGCUUGAGUAUGGGAGAGGAACGUAGAAUUCCAGGUGUAGCGGUGAAAUGCGUAGAUAUCUGGAGGAAUACCGGUGGCGAAGGCGGCGUUCUGGACCAUUACUGACACUGAAUCGCGAAAGCUAGGGGAGCAAACGGG